UACGGAGGGGGCUAGCGUUGUUCGGAAUUACUGGGCGUAAAGCGCGCGUAGGCGGAUUGCUAAGUCAGGGGUGAAAUCCUGGAGCUCAACUCCAGAACUGCCCUUGAUACUGGCGGUCUCGAGUCCGGGAGAGGUGAGUGGAACUGCGAGUGUAGAGGUGAAAUUCGUAGAUAUUCGCAAGAACACCAGUGGCGAAGGCGGCUCACUGGCCCGGUACUGACGCUGAGGUGCGAAAGCGUGGGGAGCAAACAGG
rnacentral:rRNA from 1 species